GAUGAACGCUGGCGGCGUGCCUAAUACAUGCAAGUCGAGCGAACGGACGAGAAGCUUGCUUCUCUGAUGUUAGCGGCGGACGGGUGAGUAACACGUGGAUAACCUACCUAUAAGACUAGGAUAACUUCGGGAAACCGGAGCUAAUACCGGAUGAUAUUUUGAACCGCAUGGUUCAAAAGUGAAAGACGGUCUUGCUGUCACUUAUAGAUGGAUCCGCGCUGCAUUAGCUAGUUGGUAAGGUAACGGCUUACCAAGGCAACGAUGCAUAGCCGACCUGAGAGGGUGAUCGGCCACACUGGAACUGAGACACGGUCCAGACUCCUACGGGAGGCAGCAGUAGGGAAUCUUCCGCAAUGGGCGAAAGCCUGACGGAGCAACGCCGCGUGAGUGAUGAAGGUCUUCGGAUCGUAAAACUCUGUUAUUAGGGAAGAACAUAUGCGUAAGUAACUGUGCACAUCUUGACGGUACCUAAUCAGAAAGCCACGGCUAACUACGUG
rnacentral:rRNA from 1 species